UGCAAUGUUGUGGAGGAGAUCCGCUUUG
rnacentral:piRNA from 1 species